UCUCACUCUUACUUCCUGUUUCUAUUGUACCUGUAUUUCAAAAUGGCCAGCUGUGUCACGCUGAAGUUCCCUGUGGACUACAUUAAGGGUACGUGUGUCUGUGGAGUGCUCAGCCACUUGCACGUUAAUGUCACGAGCAAGCUGUUCCGUUGAUCUGAUCGACUGGAACCCUCGUCGUCGUACCCGACGGAGUGCCA